GCGAUUUUCAAAACGUAAAUUUCUCGUUUGGCCUUCGGAUCUCGUUUUGUAAAGGUGGAGGUUGUCUUUUACGAAGACAGCUACUUCUAGAAUAUAUAGCGCAGCUUUUUUGUGAAAGAAGUACUGCAUGGCCUCCGCUACUGUUGCCCCAAAAUAUAAUACCGAAGCGAAGUAUAGAUUCAACUAACCCGUAAUAUGCAGACAGUAGGGCUUUUAUAUGGGUAAUCUUGGAUAGAUGAAAUAGUGCGUAUGCCUGCGAGUUCACCCUUUUUACAAUUGUCUCCGUCUGUUGAUUCCAGAAUAUAAAUACACGUAUGAGAACAAACGGAGAGCAGACGGAUACGAUUGUUUAGCCAGAACAGAGAGUCGGCAACAGCAACAACUA